rnacentral:rRNA from 1 species
UGGGGAAUUUUGGACAAUGGGCGAAAGCCUGAUCCAGCAAUGCCGCGUGUGUGAAGAAGGCCUUCGGGUUGUAAAGCACUUUUGUCCGGAAAGAAAUCCUUGGCUCUAAUACAGUCGGGGGAUGACGGUACCGGAAGAAUAAGCACCGGCUAACUACGUGCCAGCAGCCGCGGUAAUACGUAGGGUGCAAGCGUUAAUCGGAAUUACUGGGCGUAAAGCGUGCGCAGGCGGUUUGCUAAGACCGAUGUGAAAUCCCCGGGCUCAACCUGGGAACUGCAUUGGUGACUGGCAGGCUAGAGUAUGGCAGAGGGGGGUAGAAUUCCACGUGUAGCAGUGAAAUGCGUAGAGAUGUGGAGGAAUACCGAUGGCGAAGGCAGCCCCCUGGGCCAAUACUGACGCUCAUGCACGAAAAGCGUGGGGGAGCAAAACAGGAUUAGAUACCCUGGUAGUCCACGCCCUAAAACGAUGUCAACUAGUUGUUGGGGAUUCAUUUCCUUAGUAACGUAGCUAACGCGUGAAGUUGACCGCCUGGGGAGUACGGUCGCAAGAUUAAAACUCAAAGGAAUUGAC